rnacentral:rRNA from 1 species
GACGAACGCUGGCGGCGUGCUUAACACAUGCAAGUCGAACGGAAAGGCCCUGCUUUUGUGGGGUGCUCGAGUGGCGAACGGGUGAGUAACACGUGAGUAACCUGCCCUUGACUUUGGGAUAACUUCAGGAAACUGGGGCUAAUACCGGAUAGGAGCUCCUGCUGCAUGGUGGGGGUUGGAAAGUUUCGGCGGGUGGGGAUGGACUCGCGGCUUAUCAGCUUGUUGGUGGGGUAGUGGCUUACCAAGGCUUUGACGGGUAGCCGGCCUGAGAGGGUGACCGGCCACAUUGGGACUGAGAUACGGCCCAGAGUCCUACGGGAGGCAGCAGUGGGGAAUAUUGCACAAUGGGCGGAAGCCUGAUGCAGCAACGCCGCGUGCGGGAUGACGGCCUUCGGGUUGUAAACCGCUUUCGCCUGUGACGAAGCGUGAGUGACGGUAAUGGGUAAAGAAGCACCGGCUAACUACGUG